CCUACGGGGCGCAGCAGUAGGGAAUUUUCGUCAAUGGGCGCAAGCCUGAACGAGCGAUGCCGCGUGAGUGAAGAAGGCCUUCGGGUCGUAAAGCUCUGUUGCGGGGGAAAAAAGGCAACUACAGGAAAUGGUAGAUGACAGAUGGUGCCCCGCCAGAAAGUCACGGCUAACUACGUGCCAGCAGCCGCGGUAAUACGGAGGAUGCGAGCGUUAUCCGGAUUUAUUGGGUUUAAAGGGUGCGCAGGCGGCCUGUUAAGUCAGCGGUAAAAGCCCGGGGCUCAACCCCGGCGAGCCGUUGAAACUGG
rnacentral:rRNA from 1 species